CAGGAAUUAGAAGAAAAAAAAAAAAAAAAAAAAAGGGAAAAGAAAAAAAGAAAGAAAGAGAAAAAAGAAACAACCACCGCCCCGGGGGUGAAGCUCCCUCGCUCCCAACUCUACUUCUUGGUCUCCCCCCCACCCCCCGCUCCCCCCCCCUUCUGCUGCUUCCUCCUCCUCCUCCUCCUCUCGCAGCAGCAGUCACAGCAGCAGCAGCAGCAGCCCAAAGGGGGGGAGAGCCGGGCGGCGGGCGGGCGCGUCCCGGAGCGGCCGCGGCGAGGCUGGGGAGACAGCGAUCGAGGCGGCUAUAGCCACAAUUAAUUUUCCGAGCUACAGGCGCACACUAGGGCUGUAAAAAAAUUUUUGGUUUAACCUUUCCUACCGCUCGGCCAAUCAGAGCCGGCGGCGUGCGGGAGCGUCUCUCCCGCCGUCGACCAAUCGGCGGACCCGGGCCCACCCACCCCCGCCCCGCCCGCCGGCUCCCGCCCCCUCGGCGCUCGCCUCCCCCUCGCCGCGGGCCUGGGCCUCGCGGCCGCGCGGAGCCGCGUAGGGAUACGCCGUCCGGAGCACGCUGCGCCGCGGCCCUCUCGGCGCCCCCGCCACCCCCUCCGCCCUGCGGGCCGCUCCGCCGAGGUCCCCCUCUUAGGGCAGAUAGCUCACAUUUCCGGCUGCCUCCUCGCCGUGUCGGGCCAUUUUCGUUUGAGCGUCAAUGUUUGUCGUUAUUGAUUAAAGUUUGUAUUCCAUUUCAUUUUUAAAAGCGGGGGCGGGGGCGGGGGCGGGGGCGGCCGCGGCGGUGGGGCGGAGAGUGUGGGAGUGCGGGGACGGGGUGCGAGGAGAGGGCAGGAAAUGGAGGAGGAAGAGGCGAGGCGCGACCGGCCCCGAGUCGGCCCUCCAGGCCCGGGGCGGCAUUGCCGAGCCCGUAGGAAAACUGUGCCCCUCAACCGCAUGCCGAAGCCAGGCCUUUCCCACCCCGAAUGCGGACGGAAGGCAACUAGAAGCCCUGGGUACGUGGGUCCCACAGCCCCAGCUUCUUGGGCUUUCGAACUGGGAAGGUUCGGCUGAGGACUGAAGUGAGUGGGGAGAUUGUGAUUCGGGGGCUUUAAAAGGAUCCCGUGGCCAGGGGCAGGGCUAAGGCCCAGCAUUUCCCAGGGAUUGGAAUUUGGUGCGGAGCACACUGAUCAAAGGCUGUUUCAUCCCACAUGGGUACGAAACAUACCACAUUUUACGGAGGAUGUAGCCCUAGAGAAGAGGGAGGUGGAGGAGAAGCAUAAAUGAAAGGCACUUUCCCCCUCCUCUGCAAAAUCAUCAUAAAAUGUAAACAUUCACGCACUCUGAUAAACUAUCAAUUAAAUUGGCGGAUUUAGUAUUUAAGAAAAGGAAGGGAGAAGAGGUGAUGUCAAAGUUCAAUUCUAAUAAAAAGAAUUCGGUUGAUGAACACAAGAAUACUCAAGUUCAUAUGGGGUUGUGGCACUCUCUCUCUCUCUCUCUCUGGGCACCCCACUCCCUACUUUGAAAUCCUGAGGAAGAGAAAGAGAGAAUAAACUCUGAAUAACAGACGAUUACCAAUAGCUAGUGAUUUUACAUCUGUUAGGAAUACCAUAAAGAAACUUUGAACAUUGGACUAACUGCAUCUGUCCUUCCACUGUAUGUAUGUAUGUAUGUAUGUAUGUAUGUAUGUAUCCCCCCCCUCCCGUUUCUACUUAUUUCCUCACUUAAUCUAUAUUUUCAUGUGGGAAAGUUG
rnacentral:lncRNA from 1 species